UACGUAGAAGACUAGUGUUAUUCAUCUUUAGUAGGUUUAAAAGGGUACCUAGACGGUAUAAUUUAGUCUUUAAUAGGAAAACGGUUAGUACUAGAGUUAUAUAUGAGGAGGUGAGUAUUUGUGGAGUAGAGUUGAAAUUCUUUGAUACCAUGACGACUGGUAAAGGCGAAAGCAACCUUUUAUCUAAUAACUGACGUUGAGGGACGAAGGCCGUCGGGUCGCGAACAGG
rnacentral:rRNA from 1 species